ensembl:lncRNA
CUACCCGGAAGGGCAUCCUGCUUUGCCUCUCUUUCCAGCAGGCUCCCACUGCAGAUCAUGCCGGACCAGAUCACUGUGUCGGAGUUUAUUGUUGAGACCACGGAAGAUUACAAUUCCCCAACGACCUCCAGUUUUACCACCCGGCUACAGAACUGCAGGAACACCGUCACGCUGCUAGAAGAGGCUUUAGAUCAGGACAGAACUGCACUACAAAAAGUGAAAAAAUCUGUAAAAGCAAUAUAUAACUCUGGGCAAGAACAUAUCCAAAAUGAAGAAAGCUAUGCACAAGUACUAGAUAAAUUUGGAAGUAAUUUCUUAAGUAGAGAUAAUCCAGACCUGGGAACUGCUUUUGUAAAGUUUUCCACGCUAACUAAGGAAUUGUCAACACUGCUUAAAAAUCUGCUACAAGGGUUGAGCCAUAAUGUUAUCUUCACCUUGGAUUCCCUGUUGAAAGGAGAUCUGAAAGGAAUUAAAGGGGAUCUGAAAAAGCCUUUCGAUAAAGCCUGGAAGGAUUAUGAGACCAAAUUCACGAAGAUUGAAAAGGAAAAAAGGGAACACGCCAAACAACAUGGGAUGAUACGAACAGAGAUCACUGGAGCUGAGAUAGCAGAAGAAAUGGAGAAAGAGAGAAGGUUGUUUCAGCUCCAGAUGUGUGAAUAUCUCAUUAAGGUUAAUGAAAUCAAGACGAAAAAGGGUGUGGACCUUUUACAGAAUCUUAUUAAGUAUUAUCAUGCACAAUGCAAUUUCUUUCAAGAUGGCUUGAAGACAGCUGAUAAACUCAAACAGUACAUUGAAAAGCUAGCUGCUGAUUUAUAUAACAUAAAACAGACACAAGAUGAAGAAAAGAAGCAACUUACUGCAUUGAGGGACUUGAUAAAAUCCUCUUUGCAACUUGACCAAAAAGAGGUAAGAAUCACAAGCAAAACUAGUGAUUCACAGAGCCGGCAAGGAGGUUACAGCAUGCAUCAACUUCAGGGAAAUAAAGAGUUUGGCAGUGAGAAGAAAGGAUACCUUUUAAAGAAAAGCGAUGGCAUACGGAAAGUUUGGCAGAGAAGAAAAUGCACAGUUAAAAAUGGCAUCCUGACCAUUUCACAUGCAACUUCAAACAGGCAACCUGCUAAAUUAAAUCUGCUUACAUGCCAAGUGAAACCAAACGCUGAAGACAAGAAAUCAUUUGACCUGAUAUCACAUAACAGAACAUAUCACUUUCAGGCAGAGGAUGAGCAAGAUUAUGUCGCGUGGAUAUCAGUACUGACCAACAGCAAAGAAGAAGCUUUAAAUAUGGCCUUCCGUGGAGAACAGAGCACAGGGGAGAACAGUACUUGGGUGCACAUUAACAAUCUGGAUCCAACUUGGCUUUCUACUAACCUGGGCAUUUUAACCUGUAUAGAGUGUUCCGGAAUACACAGAGAAAUGGGUGUUCAUAUUUCUCGAAUCCAAUCUCUAGAACUGGACAAGUUAGGAACAUCUGAACUCUUGCUGGCCAAGAAUAUAGGAAAUAAUAGUUUUAAUGACAUUAUGGAGGGAAACUUACCGACUCCGUCUCCAAAACCCACUCCAUCGAGUGAUAUGACUGCCCGCAAAGAAUUUAUUACUGCUAAAUAUGUAGAUCAUAAGUACUCCAGAAAGACCUGUGCAUCAUCAGCGGCUAAACUGAAUGAACUACUAGAGGCUGUUCGAUCCAGGGAUUUACUUGCACUACUUCAAGUCUAUGCAGAAGGAGUUGAACUGAUGGAGCCACUCUUAGAACCUGGACAGGAGCCAGGCGAAACUGCUCUUCAUUUAGCAGUCCGAACUGCUGAUCACACAUCACUCCAUCUGAUCGACUUCCUUGUACAAAACUGUGGAAACCUGGAUAAGCAAACCGUGUUGGGGAAUACAGUUCUACAUUAUUGCAGUAUAUAUAACAAACCAGAGUGUUUGAAGUUGGUUUUGAAGGGGAAGCCAACUUUGCAUAUAGUAAAUCAAGCUGGAGAAACUGCCCUGGACACGGCAAAGAGACUGAAAGCUCUUCCGUGUGAAGAUUUGCUUUCCCAGGCCAAAGUGGGGAAACUAAAUCCACACGUUCACGUCGAAUACGAGUGGAACCUUCGGCAGGAAGAAAUGGAUGAAAGUGACGAUGACUUAGAUGACAAGCCUAGUCCGAUUAAGAAAGAACGUUCCCCAAGACCGCAGAGUUUUUGUCAUUCUUCCAGUAUUUCUCCUCAAGACAAAAUGGCUGUUCCCGGCCUUGGCACUCCACGAGACAAGCAGAGACUCUCCUAUGGCGCCUUCCCACAUCAGAUUUUUGUCUCUGCCAGCAUCGACUCUGCCACUUCACCAACAACUGUAGAUGGGCCCCCACUUCCUCCAAGAAAUGCUGGAAAAGGUAUUUGUUUGGCACUCACCGGGACUGCUAAGACUGCUCUGGGCCCAAGAGUGCUUCCCAAACUACCUCAAAAAGUGGCGUUACGAAAAAUAGAAACAAUUCAUCUUCCUUCGGUAGACAAAUCCAGCCACCACUCUGAGAUCUUUCAAAAGUCGGCUUCUCUUUGUAUCGAUCUGCCCCUGAAGCCCCAGCCUGCAGAUUUAGCCCCCAAACCAGGAGAAUUACCCCCCAAACCCCAACUGGGGGACCUGCCCCCAAAGCCCCAAUUAGCCGACUUGCCUCCAAAACCCCAAAUGAAGGAUCUCCCUCCAAAGCCACAACUGGGAGAAACUUUGCCUUCCGAGGCCAGUCAGAAAUCACCCGGUAUGGAUCUUUCCCCAAAGAUACAAUCGAAAGAGAUUAUCCAGAAACAAGCAUCUGAAGACUCUGGAGAUACGACCCCUGGAUCAGCAGAAACCCCUGUGCCGCUUCCUAGAAAAAUAAACAUGGGGAAGAAUAAAGUCAAGAGGGUGAAGACAAUCUACGAUUGCCAAGCAGAUAACGAUGAUGAGCUUACGUUUGUGGAAGGCGAAAUUAUUAUUGUAACCGGAGAGGAGGAUCAGGAGUGGUGGAUCGGCCACAUUGAAGGAAAGCCGGAACGGAAAGGAGUCUUCCCUGUCUCCUUCGUCCACAUUUUAUCAGACUAACUCCAGCCAGAAACUUGAGUAUUGCACAUUGUUCCUGCAAGUCAGGCUUUAAGCACGAAGCAAGACAGCUGCUGCAUCCCUGUAAUUCUGUGCAUAAUUGUGGAUAUUGAUGUAUAUAUAUAUAACUGCUGUUAACAAGGCGAGAACUCGGUCCUGCCCGUACGAAGGGCUCGUCAUACCUGUAAUUGUAUAUAGAAGGUGUUCCUUUGCCAUUGCCAGUAUUAUGGUCAUUGUCGGAGCUGGCAUGCCUUAUUGGGUUGCUCAAGCCAUUCUUGGCAUCAAGCACUUACAAAAAACUGUCCGUGUGUAUGAACUGCCAGCUUUCUAACUAAACUGUUAGUCCCAUUCACUCCCAUUCAGCUGAACAGAAUUUACCGUCCCUAAUAAUACAUCAGUAUUCUCGGAAGCAGAUAGCUAGCAGCAGUUUCUCUUUCCCCCAAAGGAACGGCUGAUGUCCGUCAAUGGCUACCCAACUUGCACCAUUGACAGCUUGUGAAAUCCUCUUCCUUGGUAUUCAUUUAGAAAAUAUAUAUAUAUAUACAUAUAUCUAUGUGUCCGAUGUAUCCAUCCAACAAACAGAAAUAUGCACUAAUGCUACAGGUAAAAAAAAAAACAGUAGAAUUUUUUUAUGGUGGUAGGCCACAUGUUCAUGUUUGUACUCUGUAACUUUGGUCUUUGACCUCACUGGGCUGCCAUCUCAAUGUCUUCAAUAAAAAUGAAUUCAAUCUCA